AUGACCAAGCACCAGAGAGCAGCAGCGGACCAGGCCGUGUCCCUCUCCCUCUCGCUCUCCCUCGGCGCCGUCGCCGGCCUCAACAAGAAGAUGCGCCGCGCCGCCGCCGCAGCCGGUGGGGAUCAGUUCCUGUGCAAGACGUGCGGCCGCUGCCACGGGCUCACGCUCGCCCUCACCGCCGGCGAUCACUACUACUCCGUCAAGCCCAAGAGUACGGAUCAGAAGCCUGAGCACCGGUGCCACAUCUGCGGCCAAGGGUUCGAGAUGGGGCAGGCGCUUGGCGGCCACAUGCGCCGGCACCGUGAGGAGGCGGCGCCCGUCCUGCUCGAGCUGUUUGUCUAG
rnacentral:rRNA from 1 species